GGAAUUUUGGGCAAUGGGGGAAACCCUGACCCAGCAACGCCGCGUGGGUGAUGAAGGCCUUCGGGUCGUAAAGCCCUUUUCCCAGGGAAGAUAGUGACGGUACCUGGGGAAGAAGCCCCGGCUAACUACGUGCCAGCAGCCGCGGUAAUACGUAGGGGGCAAGCGUUGUCCGGAUUUAUUGGGCGUAAAGCGCUCGCAGGCGGCCUGUCGCGUCAUGCGUGAAAGACCCCGGCUCAACUGGGGGUGGUCGUGUGAUACGGGCAGGCUGGAGGCCAGUAGGGGGAUGCGGAAUUCCGGGUGUAGUGGUGGAAUGCGUAGAGAUCCGGAGGAACACCAGCGGCGAAGGCGGCAUCCUGGACUGGUACUGACGCUCAGGAGCGAAAGCGUGGGGAGCGAUCCGGAUUAGAUACCCGGGUAGUCCACGCUGUAAACGAUGAGUACUAGGUGUCGGGGGUAUCGACCCCCUCGGUGCCGAAGCUAACGCGAUAAGUACUCCGCCUGGGGACUACGGCCGCAAGGCUAAAACUCAAAGGAAUUGACGG
rnacentral:rRNA from 1 species